AUUCGGGCUUGGUGUUGAAUUAAAAUCAUUGAUUGAACCUUAUUCUGGGGCUUCGGUUUGGCUUACUAGUUUGGGAUUUUAAAAAAAUAAAAAUUAAGCCUAUAGAGAGGGCAAAUUAAAAUUAGGUUGGGUAAAGGAAGGAGCGCGAGUGUUUGAAGCCGUUUGGAGGGAACAGCGGUUUCCAAGUUCCUGCUGACUUGAGAAGUCUCUGCGGGUUUCCGAAUCUCCGGCGCACUCCUGGGCGCGCUGCGGGAGCUGUAGCUCAGCCAGCCAGGGAGUAGCGGCUUUCAUCCGCCGGGAGGAGUCUUUCGAGUUCAAUCGCGGGGUAUAGAGGUUCCCCUGCGGGGCAAAAUGCAGAGCUUGACACAAGCCCUUGGCCUCUAGGUGCCUUAAUUCCGCGGUUCCCACGCACGCUUAACUAAGACGUGUCUGUAUUCCUCCCGUUACGUGAAAGAGUUCGGAGCUUUGCCUGGGACCCCCAUCAUUCCCUCCCUGGCACACCCCUUCCAGAACGCCCCGCCCCACUGCAUAUUAUUUACCCCUCCUGGCCACGCGGGGGAAGAAAAACAGCUGAGAGGGCAUCAGGAAGGAGUUUCGACCCGCGCUGGCGAGUCAUGAGCGCCAAGUUUCCCACUGGCGCGCAAACUUGAGUUACUUUUGAGCGUGGAUACUGGCGAAGAGGCUGCGGGCGGUAUUAGCGUUUGCAGCGACUUGGCUCGGGCAGCUGACCCAAGUGUCCUGUCUUCCUUCCUCUGCUUGUCUCUAGGCUCUGAAACUGCGGAGCGGCCACCGGACGCCUUCUGGAGCAGGUAGCAGC
rnacentral:lncRNA from 1 species